UUGACAGAUCCACUAAAUAUUGCAUGCGCUGCGGGUGGGACAGAGACACUGUCUGAGACUAGAUAACCUAAGUGCCGGUCCUCCGAGUUUAUCGAAGCUAAUCAAAGGCGGAUCCGCACAACGCGUUUCCUGUAAUGCGACGCCCGGGUGGAUGAAUAAAACAUGAGCCGGGCCUGACUGCCGGUCGCCCGGACCUCCUCAGCUGUGUAAGUGGUGAAAGGCGGUAUAAUCUCUUCGGACAAGAUCCCGACUGUGAUUGAUCGAGAGACAGACAGGUGCCGCCGGUUAAAACCAAACCCCAGCGAGCACCCCUCGCAGAACUCUCCGAUGAAUGGACCUCAUCCGGGGACUCGCAGCGCAAUGGGUAGCGGCCGGGGACUCGCGGAGGUGAUCAUGGAGAUGCAGGACGAAAUUAAAAAGCUGGAGUCGGAGAACAGGGCCCUGCGCGGGGAGCUGGGACAGCACGAGGCGGGGAGCGGCAGUGCGGAGGCCAACCUGGCCUCGCCCGCAUUCCACCACAGACACGCCGCGGAGGAAUCCUCUCCGCACGCUAAUCUGAGGCGGAAUGCGUCUGCACCCACGCUGGAAAGACAAUACAAGGACAACAUCAUCAUGACGGUGCGCCGAUAUUCCAUCUCGCCCGACAUGAGGACAGUGAACCGGAAGAGCGAGAGACUGGCGUCCGGACAGGAGCCCACGGAGGCGCGCGACACGGGCUGGACCCGACUCCAGGGCGAAACCCGCGGGGACGCGCCCGCCCUGCUCGCCCCCUCUGCCCGGGAGGAGAGCAGGGAGAAACAAUCCAACAGACGGUCCCUCCAAGAAUACGUGCACAAAAGCAGGGCUAAAGUCAAAACCGUCACCUUUCUUCUUCCUGUGGAGGAUAUUUACACAAACCGGCCCUUCCUGGCCAAUCAGAGGGCGGGCGGGAAGACGUACGACCUGGGCGUGAUUGUGGAGGACUCGUGAGGGAGAGGUGUGAGUGAGGAGAGAGGGAAAAGGGGGGAAAGUUGCAGGCGUCCCACACUAUCCAGGUCAGAGUUCUCUGCUGUAUUGUUUGGCAGUGAUCCACCUGUGUGUGCGGAGCGAUCGGGUGUCCCCCCCCCACAGCAUCAAUCUGACUCCGUCAGGGGGAGGCCACAGCAGGUGCUGCUGGGAGUGACACGAGGGCUUCAGUUUCAGCCGUGGAACCAAGACCAAAUCAGCAUCAUGAUUUAUUCACUUUAGUGUCUCUUUCUCUCUCAAAGUAGGCUUUGCUGGACUCGUGUGUGUCUGUGUGAAAUCAGAAUGCUGCCUAUCUAUUUUCUCAUGUGUAAAAUGUGAGAGUAUAAGAUUAUCGGUGUUAAUUAAUGUAAAGCACAACAUUUUAUUUUUGUAAAACUUCUGCUCUCUUUAUCAUCCCCUGAUUUAAAAGUAUAC